rnacentral:rRNA from 1 species
GACGAACCGUGCGAACGUUGUUCGGAAUCACUGGGCUUAAAGGGCGCGUAGGCGGGCGGGCAAGUCGGAGGUGAAAGCCCCCAGCUCAACUGGGGAAGUGCCCUCGAUACUGCCGGCCUGGAGGGAGGUAGGGGCGUGCGGAACUUCCGGUGGAGCGGUGAAAUGCGUAGAUAUCGGAAGGAACACCGAUGGCGAAGGCAGCCCCCUGGGUUAACACUGACGCUCAUGCACGAAAGCGUGGGGAGCAAACAGG